ensembl:lncRNA
CAGUGUUGGGACUAACGCGUUAUUAAGUAACGCGUUACGGUAACUACGUUAUUAUUGUGGUAACGAGCACGGUAACUAGUUAUUAUGCCAAAACCAGGAACGCGUUACUCGUUACUGGGAUUUAGAUAGGCUCGUUACUCGUUACUUCGUAUGGUGGAUAUCGCGGAGCUUCCACAGAUUCAAUAACAUUAGGAAGUGGUGGAAGCCAGCAGGUGGAUGAAGGAAAAGGGAGGCAAGAGGAGAGACCCGAAGCGGCCGCCGGUCCGCGUGUCAGGUGAACUGAACUUCAGGUGUCGUGAGGUGCCAUGACGAGAAGGAGUGACUGAGGAAGAUCGUCCACAAGAUGGAAGCUGAGGCCAGGAGAGAGGCUUCAGGAGGAUCAGAGAUCAUCUUCAGCACAGCAGACAUCCCACAGAGAGCUGUGCUACUGGGCUUCCAGGAGAUCGUCAUGAGGAGACUUCGCACAGCAAAAUCUUAAAUAAAAUGAAAGAGAUUCAGCAUUGAUGUUGAGGAAGACAACUAAGGUGUACGACGUGCUCUACCUUAAAUCGUCCGCGGUGUUGGAACGUGAGAACCUGAGGGAUGAAGGAGCGUGCCAAGCUCCAUCUGACGGGCAGGAGCAAGUUCAGCGAUGGACUUGUGGUUCUGUGAACAGCACAAAUGCCAG